rnacentral:lncRNA from 1 species
CACCUCCAUGCGUCGGGCAUCUUUGCCGUCCUGAAAAUUUCAUUGAAUAAUGCAGUCAACCACCUUACACCAACCUCUCCAACGAACUUCCAAAACUCCACCGGUAUCUCAUCCGGCCCCGUCGCCCUACCCCUUCGCAUCCUGCGGACUGCCUGUCUAACCUCGUCUACCUUAAAACGUCUACAAUAGCUAAAAUCCCGACACUCCCCUGAGUGCUC